rnacentral:lncRNA from 1 species
UCUUAUUGUUAUUGUUGCCAUUUAAAAUAAUUUGUUGCUAUUUCAAUUCAUUAUUCAUAUAUUCAUAUAUUCCUGUCUAUAUUUAUAUUGCUGUAAUUUUCUUUUCUUUAAUAUUCUCGUUAUAUACCUAUGUUGUUCUUAACACUAGCUUUGCCAACACUGUAUCCAAACAUUCAUGCUAAUAAAGCAACUAUAAACUCAGUUGAACUGAAAGAGAGAGAUAGAGAGAGAGAGAGAGAGAGAGAAACAGAAAUAGUAUAUGGGAGGGAAAUGGAUGCAACACCACAAGACAGAGUGGAGAGCAAACACACACACACACACACACACACACACACACACACACACACACACACACACACACACACACACACACACACACACACAUACAGAGUGAAGAGAGGACGCACACACACACACACACACACACACACACACAUACAGAGUGGAGAGCACACACACACACACACACACACACACACACACACAUACAGAGUGGAAAGCAUACACACACACAAACACAUACAGAGUGGAGAGGACACGCACGUACACACACACACACACACACACACACACACACACACACACACACACACACACACAGAGUGGAGUGCAGGGAGAGAAAAAGACACACAAAAGAAAAGAGCAAGGAGGACAGAAGAAAGGACUGACAGAUGCAAGCCGCUGGUUAUGAUAAUGUCCCGCCAACCAGACAACAACAAGCUAACAAAUGGAAUCAAAGAGAAGAAUGCAACAACACAAAAUGAGUGCCAUCCAAACCAGAAAAGACCAAAACACAAGAGUGCCCAGGCAGCAAGACGGGUAUUAUUAGAACAACAUAGAUGUAAACACAGGGAACGAGCAGAACAAAGAGAGAUGGAAAAGAAAGAUAAAGACUCAGACAGCCAGAGAGAGAGAGAGAGAGAGAGAGAGAGAGAGAGAGAGAGAGAGAAGCGAAAAAACUGCUUAGUUGUUAAGAAAGUCAUCUGAAUUCAGCGGCCACACUCCCCAU